rnacentral:lncRNA from 1 species
AAUGAAAGAAAACUAGGCUCAAAUACCCGAUGAUCGAAACUCAUGCCCUCAUAUAUGAAAUGCAACAUGUAUAGUGAACCUCAUGAGCCAUGGACCUGAGGAUGCCUAAUGUGAAUAUGAUAUCGAUAAGGAGACAAAUGAAACAGGAUGAACUGAUAGUGAUAUGUGUAAUGAUGAUGCGAAGUAUCGAACCCGAGAUGGGUCGCUGUAAGGGGAGAAUAAGAUGUGAAGGGAA